rnacentral:rRNA from 1 species
GACGAACGCUGGCGGCGUGCUUAACACAUGCAAAUCGAACGGAAAGGCCCUGCUUUUGUGGGGUGCUCGAGUGGCGAACGGGUGAGUAACACGUGAGUAACCUGCCCUUGACUUUGGGAUAACUUCAGGAAACUGGGGCUAAUACCGGAUAGGAGCUCCUGCUGCAUGGUGGGGGUUGGAAAGUUUCGGCGGUUGGGGAUGGACUCGCGGCUUAUCAGCUUGUUGGUGGGGUAGUGGCUUACCAAGGCUUUGACGGGUAGCCGGCCUGAGAGGGUGACCGGCCACAUUGGGACUGAGAUACGGCACAGACUCCUACGGGAGGCAGCAGUGGGGAAUAUUGCACAAUGGGCGGAAGCCUGAUGCAGCAACGCCGCGUGCGGGAUGACGGCCUUCGGGUUGUAAACCGCUUUCGCCUGUGACGAAGCGUGAGUGACGGUAAUGGGUAAAGAAGCACCGGCUAACUACGUG